GACGAACCGUGCGAACGUUGUUCGGAAUCACUGGGCAUAAAGGGCGCGUAGGCGGCUUUUCAAGUCAGGGGUGAAAUCCGGCAGCUUAACUGUCGAAGUGCCCUUGAUACUGAUGAGCUCGAGGGAGGUAGGGGUAUGUGGAACUUCCGGUGGAGCGGUGAAAUGCGUUGAUAUCGGAAGGAACGCCGGUGGCGAAAGCGACGUACUGGACCUCUUCUGACGCUGAGGCGCGAAAGCUAGGGGAGCAAACGGG
rnacentral:rRNA from 1 species